GCCCGGGUGGCGGAACAGGUAGACGCAGGGGACUUAAAAUCCCCUAGCCGGCAACGGCUGUGCCGGUUCGAGUCCGGCUCCGGGCACCA
rnacentral:tRNA from 1 species